UCCAAACUGCGUUUUUCUUUUUUUUCAUGAGUUUUUUUUUUGAAAUUUCAUUGUGCUUUCAAAAUCAUAAUUGCGUUCUGCUUUCAAAAUCCUAAUCGUUUUUUUUCAAAUUUGCGUUGCUUUUUUUUUGAAAAUCGCAGCUGUCUAGUUUUUUUUUGAAUUUAACAAGUCAAUUGAAAUUUUGAAAGUUUCUGAAUAGGACAUAUGGUGGGUAAAUUGGAAAUGAAUCUAUAAAAUCUUGUUCGCCAAUUGAAUUGGAACUACUCUGAUGUUAUCACAUCCAAUCUUUCUCCCCUAUGAGGUCUUCCAAAAAAUCUACUUGUUAAAUAGUAGGAACGUGAAGGGAAAGUUUGGCAGACCAUUUUUUCCUCAAGCAGAAAAACAUCCCCGUAAAUUUUCAAAUGUUUUUUGAAGUUCACCGUUUGACGGAACAAAAACAAAACAAAAUAUGCAAAUAAAAUGUAUCGUAAAUUUCUCUAGGCGGUGAAUACACCAGCUGAAUUUGACAAAACUAGAGUAUCGCGGUUAACAAAAAACCAAAUUUUCAUUUCAUUUGAUGAAGAAGCAAACCGCAGAUGAAAACUAUGAUCAUGGAAUUCAACGUAUCGUACAAAGUUGUGCUUUUCUUCGCAGCAAUUAUGCUGAUUGGUUCCUCACCUGGAUAUGCUUCAAAUUCCUUAUAUACACUUACGACAGCAACCUACGUCCCAGACUCUCUGAAUGAUCACCCCAACUAUAAACCUCCACCACAUUCAGAGUCGCAAAGAAUUCUUUCCCCUGGAACUCAAAAUUAUGAAGGAAGCACAGAAUGUGUUCCAAUACGUCCGAGUGUCAUAAUAAAUACGUUACCAGAAAUUCUAUCAUUUGAUAUAUUCUCGCAAGCUGAUCCUUUCAAUUACUUUCUCGUUAAAACAAAGAAAUUAUCUGAUGAUAAAGUUCGAAGUAUUCAGUAUCAAGUGGUUUUUGCGUUAGAUUGGAAAAAACUUCCUCAAUGCUACACACCAUUCGCUAAAUUACUAUCAUCGUUCUUACGAUGUUGGGUCUUUCUUUUAGAUGCAAAACCAUUCAUCAAAGAAAUUAAAAUUCAGCGUUCUACGAACAUCACCAAUGGUUUCAAUUCUCUACCUAAUGACGUCUCUUCAUCGUCCGAAUUAUCUGAGCUGUUUUCUUCCAAUAUUUUUUCCGAUCCUGAACCACCUAUUCGGCUGUUUACCAAGAUAUUGGAUAUGCAAGAGAGAACGGUGGUCAACUCGAAGAACCAGUUACAAAAUUUCGUACAGAAGUGGGCGGAUGAGAGAAUAAUUCCAUUUCCUCGGGUAUACAUCUCCUAUGCUGAUGCUGUUUUUAGAUUUUUGCAUACUGAAUCCGCCAUUAAAAAUUUGAAACUAGAUUUGGACGAAAUUAAACGUAUAGGUAUUAAAUAAUUUAACUCGACAUUGUAAUUGUAAUGUUUUGGUUGAAUGGUGUAGGUACCUAUCUUCCAAUAUAUAGUUCCAUAGAAAUAUAAUGUGAAAGUAUACUUGA